UACGGGGGGGGCAAGCGUUGUUCGGAAUUACUGGGCGUAAAGGGCUCGUAGGCGGCCAACUAAGUCACACGUGAAAUCCCUCGGCUUAACCGGGGAACUGCGCUUGAUACUGGAUGGCUUGAGAUUGGGAGAGGGAUGCGGAAUUCCAGGUGUAGCGGUGAAAUGCGUAGAUAUCUGGAGGAACACCGGUGGCGAAGGCGGCAUCCUGGACCAACACUGACGCUGAGGAGCGAAAGCCAGGGGAGCAAACGGG
rnacentral:rRNA from 1 species